GUUCCUGCCCCCGGCUCCCGGCAGCUGCCGCCCCCCAGUGUCGGAGGACCCCACAAACAUAUCAGACACGUGCAGGCCAGUCCUGAGAUCGUGGAGAGUUUUCAUUUUCCUUGAAUCAACGAUGUUUGAGUUGAGUGUUCCCAUAGGAACCAUCUGCCUCAGCCUCUCAGCUGUCAGAGGAGGAAACUCUGCUGAUGGAACGCCUGCUCCAGACUGAACUCAGGUCUUCAGAUCCACCACCGCAAUGGCGGCCUCUCCCGAGGGAAGAACGACAGUCAAACACCUUCCUUUUCUGCACGGACUGUCACCAGCUCUCCACAAGGUCAUCCUGGAACGUCAAGGUCUCCCAGUGUGGGUAGCCCCACCCCCUGAUGUUCCCUCUCACCUCUCACCUCUCCUGGGACGAUGGUACCUGUGGAAUAAAACCUAAGUGUGUAUUUGAAAUGUUUGUGAUGAAAGGAUGUGAAGAAGAAGGCAAAGGAGGAGGAGCAGCAGCUGUGGCUUUGCAGGCUCA